UAAAAACGUAAGCGGUCAUAAAAAUACAAACGAGGCAUGUAAUUUUCAAGAGUUAAACAUCUUCUCGUUAUCAAAAGAAAACGAAAAUAAGCAAGCUUCAAGCGAGUUUCAAUUGUACCGUUAAUCAUCAUAUCACAAAAUUUACUGCAUGUCCGGAGAAAAUUGUUGACCACGAAGUUUCUGAAAAUCUAUACCAGCAGAAGGAGAGUAAACAUCCUCAAAUGGACUACCACUUUGGUCAUGAGAUAAGUAGCCCGAAGCUCCGGGUUGCGACGCAUACACACCACCGCUACUACUUUUCUCAAUUAAAUUACUAUCCUGUCCAGCAGAUGAUGCUAAAGGUAUAGACGGUGUUUGAAUGAAUAACCGAGGAGCAACCCCAGCAGAAACAGAUGAAUUUGUACGGGCUUGCGCGUAAACAGACUCUUCAGAUGGUACUUCAAAUCCAUACGACGGGACAGAGUUCUCAGUAGCAAGGGAGACAUCUCCAAAUGGUACCUGAGAUAACUGUUGACUUGGUGCAUUCAUCGUGGUGGAAAUUGAAGAAGAGCCAAUGCCGCCAAAUUCUCUGUUUUGAGUCGUAAAUGGGACGGAUACGUUUGUGUUCAUUGACCAUGAAUUUGGAGUGAGACCACCAGUUUGUGAAUUGGGAAACUGCGCUGCCAUGUCUUUUAUUUCCGUGUUAAUACCUUGUGUAUUUGGAUGCAUCACAGGUCGGCUUGGUGAAUUGGAUGCUCGAGGAAGUGAGCCGACAUCGGAUGGUGCCGAUAAAGGAUAUGAUAUAUUAGAUGUGCCAAGCUCACCAAACUGCGUGUUAUCAAGAUUAAGCGCUAAAUUAUGGUGCGGAUAAGCAGAUGAAACUGAAGGCUCAUAAGAGUUUAGUCUUGUAGAACUUCCUUCCAAAACAUUAGCAGAUUUCAUUGCUUGAGUAAUAGGAGACACAGAUUGAGCAUGCAUAAGCCCUUCAGUAUUAGUUUUCGGAGGUAAAAGAUGCUGAGCCAAAUCCUGUCUAGCAGGGGUUGAAGUGCUACGAAGCCUUUUAAACUGGCUUUUAUUGCCAUAUUCAGAAGAAGUGUCAUGAGACAAUCCCUGGAUAGGAGGGUUUCUUCCUUGAUGAUCAAAUACAGAGCUAUCAGGUUGUCUAGGAAGUUGAUUAGCCCAUUGAGGGUCCAAAAAUUGGUGAGGAUUAAGACCUUUUUGAAGGCGGAUUACAGACCCCAACUCUGGCGAUGCCCUUCGAACCCGAUCGAGCAUUUGAAACAUGCUAGUAGCUCUUCCCAUCAAAGAAUGUAAUAAAACUUCCGAAGCCUGAUUACCCUCAGUAAAAUCCGUACAAUUUCCCUGUCCUUCGGAAGUGAUCAUGUGAAAUACUGGUGGAACACUCAGCUGAAUAUCCAUUUGAAGCCAAUAUUCAUUUGGUGCCGGUUUAUCUCGACUAGACGCAGUUGCACUCAACUCAUUUAACAAGGGCUCCUCUACUCUAAAAACGUGUAUCGACUCAAUGACAAAAAAAGAAUAUUCAAUACGAUACUGAAUCCCCUGGAAUUGAAUCAAAUAUGCAAAUAAUUUCUUUGGCGGAGAGUAGAAACACAUUAAAUCCUGAGGAGAGGCUCGUAGUCUUUUCCAUAAACCAAUUACUAGUAAUGUACAAGAAAAGUAGUAAAAUUCCGAAUCAUAUGAGGUCGGUUCUGAAGAAGUACGCAUGUGCCCUGUUGCCAUAUUAGGAGGACGAACAGGCCCUGAUGCUUUGUAUGAUGAAGGCUUGGAAUGACCGAACAUUCUGUAACCCCCAGAACUAGGGCUCACUUCUCUAGGAUAGGAGUAAAGAUCUGACUCUGGUUGAGGCAUACGGAUGCCUGUAAGUGGAGUAGCAUACGAAGAGGGUGGAGAUUCUACGUCGAAAGCUUGAUUUGAUACCGACAUAGCAUUUGGGAUUGCGGAAUAAGAAGAGGCAGAGUAUUUCCUUUGACUUGAGACAGGAACGGCAUUUGGACUUAGACUAUUGUAGUAUGUACUAGAAAGAGACUGACGGAUCGGAAUGUCUGACUCUGCUAUGCAUGGCUCCAUGGAAGAUU
rnacentral:lncRNA from 1 species